rnacentral:piRNA from 1 species
CUCUCCACGGAAAUCUAUGUACCAAA